CCGGCUUGUGCCCGCCCUCACAGUCGGGCAUAUUUGCGGAAUACACCACGCCGCUGUUGACCCUGCAGGCCAUUGACCGAGCAACCCAACCAGCUCCCUCCGCAGGAGGAAUGUGUUAAAAACAAUCCACACGGAACUGAUUCCAUCGCUCCAUCCUGCCGGUGGACGCUCCUCUGGGACCGCAUUCCAUCCCUUGGCUGCCGUUCCGUGAUUGCUCUUGACCAUCGUCCCAUUCGAGACGUGACGCGGUCAGCCCAAGCCAGAUGCCGCCACCCAGGGCGGCUGCUGCGCGCCUCUUGGUGUUUACGGAGCAACGGCGGCGGUUGCCGAGGAGCCGCGAGCAAAACACGCGGAGCCGCACCGCGCGAGGCACGCACAGGCGUACACACUC